AGAGUUUGAUCAUGGCUCAGGACGAACGCUGGCGGCGUGCUUAACACAUGCAAGUCGAACGGUCCUGUUUUUGAAGCGUUUCGGCGUGGAGGGAGCGGGGCAGUGGCGCACGGGUGAGUAAAGCGCGAGGACCUGCCCGCCGGAGGGGGACAGCAGUUGGAAACGGCUGGUGAUACCCCGUAAGCCGGGAGGUGAAAGGGCGGCGACGCCCGCCUGCGGAUGGACUCGCGUCCUAUCAGCUAGUUGGUGAGGCAACGGCUCACCAAGGCGACGACGGGUAGCCGGCCUGAGAGGGUGUCCGGCCACACUGGAACUGAGACACGGUCCAGACUCCUACGGGAGGCAGCAGUGGGGAAUUUUGGGCAAUGGGGGAGACCCUGACCCAGCGACGCCGCGUGAGGGAUGAAGGCCCUUGGGUCGUAAACCUCUUUUGCAGGGGAAGAAGCAGAUGACGGUACCUUGCGAAUAAGUCCCGGCUAACUACGUGCCAGCAGCCGCGGUAACACGUAGGGGACGAGCGUUGUCCGGAAUUACUGGGCGUAAAGGGCGCGCAGGCUGUGCGUCGAGUCGGCUGUUGAAAGGCGGGGCUCGACCCCGCGAAGCGGUCGAGACCGGCGUGCUGGAGAGCUGCAGAGGCAGGCGGAAUUCCCGGUGUAGCGGUGAAAUGCGUAGAUAUCGGGAAGAACACCGGUGGCGAAGGCGGCCUGCUGGGCAGUUACUGACGCUGAGGCGCGAGAGCCAGGGUAGCGAACGGGAUUAGAUACCCCGGUAGUCCUGGCCGUAAGCGAUGGAUGCCAGGUGUGCGUGCAGAGAUGCAUACGUGCCGCAGUCAACGCGAUAAGCAUCCCGCCUGGGGAGUACGGUCGCAAGAUUGAAACUCAAAGGAAUUGACGG
rnacentral:rRNA from 1 species